CUCAGAGAGACAGUACCUUUUGCUGAGUCCAGCAUAUGGCUAACAGGAGCUAUGUCAGCAGCUGAGACCACAGCAAGUCCUGAAGCCAACUGGAUUAGGAAGCCAUUGUAUGGAUUGUUUCAAUAUAAUUCCAGUAUGAUUGGACUAGAAUCAUUAGCUGAUCCCUCAGAUACCUGGGAAAUUAUAGAGACCAUUGGGAAAGGCACUUACGGUAAGGUCUAUAAGGUCGCCAAUAAGAAAGAUGGGAGUCUGGCAGCAGUAAAGAUUCUGGAUCCUAUCAGUGAUGUAGAUGAAGAAAUUGAAGCAGAAUAUAAUAUUUUGCAGUUUCUUCCCAAUCAUCCUAAUGUUGUUAGAUUUUAUGGGAUGUUUUACAAAGCAGAUCAAUAUGUGGGAGGACAGCUCUGGCUAGUACUUGAGCUGUGCAAUGGAGGUUCUGUCACAGAGCUUGUCAAAGGCCUGCUGAAGUGUGGCCAACGGUUGGAUGAAUCUAUAAUCUCAUACAUCUUAUGUGGUGCUCUCUUGGGCCUUCAGCAUUUACACAAUAACCGGAUCAUUCAUCGUGAUGUGAAAGGGAACAACAUUCUCCUGACAACAGAAGGUGGAGUCAAGCUCGUUGACUUUGGUGUUUCAGCCCAGCUCACCAGCACACGGCUGCGUAGAAACACCUCCGUGGGAACACCCUUUUGGAUGGCACCUGAGGUCAUUGCUUGUGAACAACAGUAUGACUACUCAUACGAUGCGCGAUGUGACGUAUGGUCCUUGGGAAUAACAGCUAUUGAACUGGGGGAUGGAGAUCCUCCUUUAUUUGACAUGCAUCCGGUGAAAACCCUUUUUAAGAUUCCAAGGAAUCCUCCUCCUACUUUGCUACAUCCUGAAAAAUGGUGCAGAGGAUUCAACCAUUUCAUUUCACAGUGUCUUAUCAAGGAUUUUGAAAAGCGUCCUUCAGUCACCCAUCUUUUGGAGCAUCCAUUUAUUAAACAAGUACAUGGUAAAGAUAUGUCUCUGCAAAAGCAGCUGGCUGAGCUAAUCCAAGAACAGCAGCAACUAGGCUCCAUAGCCAAAACAAGGUACUGUACAACAUAUAUGCUCCAGCCCUCCUUCACCACCCUAAUUGUAGAAGCACAAGUUGAAACUUUGAAUGCACAGACAUGUACUGUUUCAAAUGAUUGUAUUAAUGCAUUGACUAGCAGUAUUAUUUGCAAUAAGUGCUGCAUGCCAUGUGAAUGCAAGAAAUAUGUUUUCCCAUUGACAGUUUUUAAAUUCUCCAAGCUUUACCAUGGUGUGAAGCGUUCAUCAAAUCCCCCCCACAUAUUUGCCUCUGCAGAUGCUGCCUACCAAAGUAUGGUUACCUUCAGCAAAGAUCAGUGCAUUAUCAUCAGUGGGGAAAGUGGUGCUGGAAAGACAGAAAGUGCCCAUCUGAUUGUCCAACAUUUGACCUUCUUGGGAAAGGCCAAUAACCGUGCUUUGCGUGAGAAAAUUCUUCAGGUGAAUCCUCUGGUUGAAGCAUUUGGGAAUGCCUGCACUGCCAUCAAUGACAACUCAAGUCGCUUCGGAAAAUACCUGGAAAUGAUGUUUACACCUACAGGAGCUGUAAUGGGGGCAAAGAUUUCUGAAUAUCUACUUGAAAAAUCAAGGGUCAUAAAACAGGCUGUGGGAGAAAAAAAUUUCCAUAUAUUUUAUUAUAUUUAUGCUGGCCUUUAUCACCAGAGGAAACUUUCUGAAUAUAGACUUCCCGAUAAAAAGCCUCCUAGAUAUAUUGAUAAUGAAACUGGAAGAGUCAUGCAUGAUAUUGUUACUAAAGAUUCCUAUGGAAGACAGUUUGAAGCAAUUCAGCAUUGUUUUAGAAUUAUAGGAUUCACUGACGAGGAAGUGUACUCAGUGUACAGAAUUCUGACUGGAAUCUUAAAUACUGGAAAUAUUGAGUUUGCUGCCAUUUCUUCACAACACCAAACAGAUAAAAGUGAGGUUCCCAACCCAGAAGCCUUAGAUAAUGCUGCUGCACUACUAAGUAUUGGGUCAGAAGAACUUCAAGAGGCCCUAACCUCCCAUUGUGUUGUAACACGAGGGGAGACUAUUAUCCGAACAAACACAGUGGACAAAGCAGCUGACGUGCGAGAUGCCAUGUCUAAAGCACUUUAUGGCCGGCUCUUCAGCUGGAUCGUAAAUCGUAUUAAUACGCUGCUUCACAAUGCUGAAAAUGGGAUGAAUGUUGGAAUACUAGACAUAUUUGGAUUUGAGAACUUCGCAAGAAAUUCCUUUGAACAGCUGUGCAUAAAUAUUGCUAAUGAACAGAUCCAGUUUUAUUUCAAUCAACAUAUCUUUGCACUUGAGCAGAUGGAAUAUCAGAGUGAGGGAAUUGAUGCUGCUACAGUGGAGUAUGAGGACAACCGUCCACUUCUAGAUAUGUUCCUCCAGAAACCCAUGGGUCUCCUGUCUCUACUAGAUGAAGAAAGUCGAUUUCCUCAGGCAACAGACCUAACUUUAGUUGAUAAAUUUGAAGAUAACUUACGAUGCAAAUACUUUUGGAGACCAAAAGGAGUAGAACUGUCAUUUGGUAUUCAGCACUAUGCUGGAAAGGUUUUAUAUGAUGCCUGUGCAUUCCUUGAGAAGAACAGAGACACUCUUCCUGCUGAUGUAGUAGUGGUGUUGCGAACCUCAGAGAACAAACUUCUUCAGCAGCUGUUCUCUAGCCCAUUAACAAAAACAGGUAUUUUCUGCACAGCUUUGCUAACAUUGCAAUCUCUUCAUUUUGUCUUCCAGGUUGACACAAUGGAAGUUAUGCGACACCCUGAGGAAACAACUAACAUGAAGCGGCAAACUAUGGCUUCUUAUUUUAGGUAUUCCCUCAUGGAUCUUUUAUCCAAAAUGGUUGUUGGACAGCCUCACUUUAUCCGCUGCAUUAAACCUAAUGAUGAUCGAGAAGCACUGAUGUUUUCUCAUGAGAGAGUUCUACUGCAGCUACAAUACACUGGAAUUCUGGAAACUGUCAAAAUACGUCAAAAAGGGUAUUCUCAUCGCAUCCUCUUUGAAGAGUUUGUGAAAAGGUAUUAUUACCUUGCAUUCAAGGCACACGAGACUCCCCUUGGUAGCAGAGAAAAUUGCCUUGCCAUUUUGGAGAAAUCUAAACUAGACAACUGGAUUCUUGGGAAAACCAAGGUUUUUCUAAAGUAUUAUCAUAUAGAGCAGUUAAACUUGUUCCUGCGAGAAGUUAUAGGGAGGGUGGUGGUCAUGCAAGCCUAUAUCAAGGGAUGGCUUGGAGCAAGGAGGUACAAGAAAGUCAAAGAGAAAAGAGAAAAUAGUGCUCUAUCGAAAACAUUACUUCUGAUCAUUUGUUCUUCAGUAUCAAAUGACAUCAGUGACAGGUAUCACGCACUUUUGGGCUUUUUCUAA
rnacentral:lncRNA from 1 species